rnacentral:rRNA from 1 species
GAGUUUGAUCAUGGCUCAGAUUGAACGCUAGCGGGAUGCCUUACACAUGCAAGUCGAACGGCAGCACGGACUUCGGUCUGGUGGCGAGUGGCGAACGGGUGAGUAAUGUAUCGGAACGUGCCUAGUAGCGGGGGGAUAACUACGCGAAAGCGUAGCUAAUACCGCAUACGCCUACGGGGAAAGGCAGGGGAUCGCAAGACCUUGCACUAUUAGAGCGGCCGAUAUCGGAUUAGCUAGUUGGUGGGGUAACGGCUCACCAAGGCGACGAUCCGUAGCUGGUUUGAGAGGACGACCAGCCACACUGGGACUGAGACACGGCCCAGACUCCUACGGGAGGCAGCAGUGGGGAAUUUUGGACAAUGGGGGAAACCCUGAUCCAGCCAUCCCGCGUGUGCGAUGAAGGCCUCGG